CGAGGCGGACGGGUGACCGCCGACGUAAGUGAAUACGGUUGGAGGAAAGUCCGGGCUCCGAAGAGCAGGGCGCUGGGUAACACCCAGUCGGGGCGACCCGAAGGAAAGUGCCACAGAAAUGACACCGCCAGGCGGCGUUUGUCUCCGGAGAGACGCCGUCGGGUAAGGGUGAAAUGGUGGGGUAAGAGCCCACCGGCGGCCGGGCGACCGGCCGACCAGGCAAACCCCGCCCGGAGCAAGACCAAAUAGGAGGGCGUUCACGGUUGCUCGCCGAGCCCUCGGGUAUCGGUCGCUAGAGGCGUCGGGCAACCGGCGUCGCAGACAGAUGGUCACCGUCCCGCAAGGGAUACAGAACCCGGCUUAUCGCCGCUCUCGGCCC
rfam:Actinobacteria bacterium 13_1_20CM_2_65_11 13_1_20cm_2_scaffold_778, whole genome shotgun sequence.